CAAGGGGGACACAGUAGGGAUUGUUACCACCCGUAUGCUGCUACAGUAACGAUUCCUACUGGUAAUCAAUCUGUACAACAGCAACAACAACCACCUCAAUAGAGAACACAGAGAGCUGGGUACCAAGUGAGAAGAAGGAUGACAGAUUGUCAGUUUGAUAGGCCACCCGUGACGUAUGCCUUUCUGUUUAAGAGGUUGAAG
rnacentral:lncRNA from 1 species